GCUCCGGUGGCUUAGUGGUUAGAGCGUCCGCCUCUGAUGUGGGAAGUCUUUGGUUCGGUCCCGGGUCGAGUCA